GUCUCAGGCCGUAUCAGCCUGAAGGCGCCCGAUCUCGUCUGAUCUCGGAAGCUAAGCAGGGUCGGGCCUGGUUAGUAUCUUGGAUGGGAGACCACCUGGGAAUCCCCGGUGCUCGAGGCU
rnacentral:rRNA from 1 species